rnacentral:tRNA from 1 species
GGUGGAGACGGGGCAGCGGAGCCCCACCCGGCUGUAAACCGGGCGCCCGAGCGGCACAGGGGGUUCGACUCCCUCCUCCACCA